GAACCCGGAAGCAGAGAGGAAGAACCGGAAGUUAGGCGGUAUCACGAGCCUUUAGUUUACUGGGUGGCCGGGCGAUGUCCUGGUUACUGUUCGAUUGUCCACCCUUUCCGACUUAUUUUGGUUUUGCGGUGCUGGGAAGCGAAGCUCUCGGGGAUCAUGGCUGUGCUCUCGCAGCCAGGCAUUGAGUGUCGACAGCUUCCUGUGAGGCCCAGUGCUCAGAGGAAGGCCAGUCUCCAUGCCAGCAGGGCCUGGCUGCAGGGACUAGCUUGCCAAAGAACUUCCUGGGACAUCCAGGUGGCUUCUUGCCACUUCUGCUGACUCCUGCUGAUCUGUGGCGCCUCUCAGUUUCUUCUGGAUCUACUGCUGCUACUGAUUCCUGUUUGAUGUUUGCCCAUUGGACUGGACUGCUGCUACUGACUCAUGUCUGCUGUCUUAGACUGGACUGCUAAUAUCCUGACACAGAGAUAUCCCAAUCUUCCUAAAGAACUACUUCUAAACCCUUCCAUAACCCUCAAUUCCUAUUAGCCUUUCUUUUCCCUACCUUGGUAGUUGGACUAGAAGGAUGUUGAAGCUUUCAAGAACCCUAAUUAAAGUAGGUUUUGAAAAAA
rnacentral:sRNA from 1 species